GUGGAGUGUGGGUGCCUGCUAGUGACACGGACAGCCGCCGCCGAGCAGUCUUUGGCUAACGGACAUCAGGUUUCAAUCAUGAAGUUUGUGGUGGAGCAUGUGAGCAAGAAUUGAGGACGGCUAGGCAGGCUGGGUGGUCUUCGCAGCCAACCUGAUAGUAUCCACACCAUUCCACUCUCUUAUUUCCACCAAGAGAGGCAGUGCACCACAUCUCACACAGGAUGUGCUGCACCGGUGGCAUGGCGUCAAGGGAACUGCCUCUUUGUAUCCCUGUCCAGCACUGAAUUGAACACAUGACGGUGCUCCAGAGUUUCAAGAAGGGAGUGGCACACACACACUGCUGCACUCCAAGUAAGGUUUUUGGAGAUCCAGCAGCACAUAGGGCCAUUUCAAGACAUUUAGAGGCCCCAAGCCAAAUGGACAUGGAGGGCCCCACCUCUCCUUGGCACACAACCCAGGACCACAGCAAAAACCCAAAGCCUUCCCAUCCCAUCCUGGCCACCAUCCAAAGCCUACAAGCCUAUAAGAACCACAGCAAAGAUACAUUGUUUGAGAUCACACUUUAUUAAAUACAACUAUGAAUUAUAUUUAAAAAAUCUAAAGGGGCACUCAGACAGUUUGUCAUUGCAUUUAAUUCUUAAUCAGUCACUGUCUGGAGGCCCCUGGCCAGCUCAAGGCCCCAAGCAAUUGCAAGGUUUGCUUGCCUUGUGACGGGCCUGUGGGCACACUGCACACUGCUUUCAUAAACGUGUGUGCAGAGCGUAUAACUGAGAGAGGCAAGGAUGGUGGAUGUUUCAACAUUCACAGCAUCAUUAGUUCAUGCUUUCUUUUUUGUGGAAAGUGGUGAACACAGUUUUAACCAAAGGAUUAUAUGUCAUCAUUUAUAUUCAUAGAUUUCAUGACUUAACAUUAUGUUGAAUUUUGUGCAUCAAAUCACUUCAUUACAUGUAAGCGUAUAUUAAGCUACAAGGAGUAACGGUUUAUGAAAUUUGUAAUGUAUAAAAAGUGACUUAUAAGAGAUCUUGCAUUAUGAAGAUUUGUUUAAAGGUGUUUGUUUAUUAGUAUGAUCUAGUUGUGUCAGUCUUAACAGUCCAGAUUGUACAGAUGGAAUUUCAGUCAACACUGCAAGGUGUGUGUGUGUGUGUGCAGCUUUGUGGGCAAGUGUGCCAGUCAUUCCUUGAUGUCAAUGUCUUUCAUUUAUGGAAAAAAUGUUGUGUAAUUAGGUUUAUAUACAUUUUUGAGUGAAAAUAUUUAGACAUUAAAUAGAAAGUUUCUCACCUUUUUUGAGCUUUGCUGUUACUGUUCUGUGUAAGAUUUCAGGGGCCGUAUUCUACAAUGAUAGCUAGAUGUGACCAUAGCGAGACAAAAUGGUACAUUUUAGACACAACUCCCUCUAUGACAGGCUCUAACCUUGUGUCUCAUCAUAUGCCAAGACAGGUUUCACCUUGUUGUAGCUUUGCCAACUGCCAUCUUGUCAACGUGAUGGGAUUUUGGCUGCAUGUACCAUAGCAUGAUUCCUGACAGUUUAUAUUAUUAAUUAAUGAUAAAUAUCUGUAAUGAUGACUAAAUAAUGUCAUUUGAUGCAGCAAUUUACCAUUAUAGAUGACUGUCGAGAGGGUUAUGAUCAGUUUUCCAAAACUCAAACAAACCUUGCCCCACGUGGCCUGCAUGUAUCAUGUGUGAGGCGAUCGGGCGUAAUCUUCUGUUUGUCAUGUUUCUUAUGUUUGGAUACAGUCUAAUUAUUCCCAAAGUAGUAAUAUGAUGUCAGAAUAACUUAAAUUGUAGAAAAUUAUGUCAGUCUUUUUUCUUUAUAUACAUUAUAAAGUUGACAAAUAAUGAGCCUAAAGACCAACAUAGGAGUGACAGUCAGGCAUUCAGUGAAACCUGAGGCUAACUGUGUAGAAUGCAGCCCCAGAAUGAUGGUCUGUGUUUUUUAUAUUUAUGGUGACAAUGUAAUGUUGCAAGGGACAGCAUCUUGUUUGAGAGCAAUGCCAUUGUGAAAUGCUUGAAAAAUUAUUUUACUGACUUGAUAGUUCCUCCUAGACUUUUGCAAUGAAAAUGGCCUCAAUAGAACUUGUAGUUACUAACAAGACUUUUGCAAUGAAAAUGCUCUCAAAAUAUGGAUGGAUGGCAAUGAUAGGUGGAAUGAGAUAGACCUGUUCAUACAGGGACUGCUGACAUGUAUGUGCAGGCCUCAUAGUAAUGAUAGGUGGAAUGAGGUAGACAUGUUUAUAUUGACAUGUAUGUGCAGGCCUCCUGGUUCCUCUUGGAACUUUACUAAUUUUUGUUUCUUUAAUACUUUUGAAAUAAUUUUGUUAGUUUAAAUUAUUAGAGUAAUGUAAUACUUGAAAGAAUUGUCCAAAGUUGAAAAUGUAAAUAUUGUACAAAUUGUGCUAUUCCACUAAAAAUUAUUGUAAGUUGAAAAUUAUAAAUGUUUUCUAAGUUGAAAAUUUUGGUAGAGUUUUCAGUUUUGUAAAAAAAUAAUGUAUUGAUUAUUGAUUUGAAAAAAAAUGUAUUGAUUAUUGAUUUGAAAAUUGUAAAAUUUUUCUAAGUUGAAAAUUUUAGUAGAGUUUUCAGUUUUGUAAAAAAAAAAUGUAUUGAUUAUUGAUUUGAAAUUUUCUAUGUUGAAAAUUUUAGUAGAGUUUUCAGAUUUGUAAAAAAAAAAUGUAUUGAUUGUAAAAAUUUUCUAAGUUGAAAAUUUUGGUAGACUUUUCAGACUUGU
rnacentral:lncRNA from 1 species